rnacentral:rRNA from 1 species
UCAUAAAGUUAACUUAUUUCUUAUAGUCUUAUAAACAUAAAUAUUUUUAGUAAAUGGAGAAUAAACUUUUAGUUAAUUAGUACCUCAAGGGAUCUUAAAAUUGAAAAAUUUAGUAUAGUUAAAAACUAGUACCUUUUGGAUCAUGGGUUAUCUAGAUUAAAAUUUAGUUUUUAGUCCCGAAAAACGUCGAUCUAUUUUCUUAUCGUUGAGAACUAAUUUAUAUGUGUGGAAAAACAUAAAAAAAUAAGUAAAUAGAAAUGAAACAUUAAACGAGAUGUUUUAUAGCUGGUUAUUAAGAAAAGGUAUUUAAGUACUUUUCUAUUUUUAUUAAUUUAAAAUCUAAAAAUAGAAAUAACUAAAACGGGGACAAGCUCUUUUUAGUAAAGUUAUUUUAUCAAAGAAAAAUAUUUUUAAGUUGGGCUUAGAAUUGGCCAAACUAACAGGUUUGUUUCUAAAUUAUAAAUUUUAAUAUUUUCAAAUAGUAGUUUUAAAAUAACAAAAGUACUUAAUAAUUGCUUUAAUUUAUUAUUAAGGUAAAUUAGAAUGUUAAUAUGAGUAUUUUAUUUAUAUAUAAAAAUAGUUAAAAACAUAAAUAUAUUAAAAAAGAACUCGGCAAAUAUUUUAUCUCAUCUGUUUAAUAAAAACAUAGCUUCUUGAAACUAUAAGAAGUCGUGCCUGCCCGGUGAGCUAAGCUUAAACGGCCGCAGUAUCUUGACUGUGCAAAGGUAGCGUAAUCAGUUGUCUCAUAAUUGGAGACUAGUAUGAAAGGCUUUAUGAGGAUAAAGCUGUUUCUUUAAUAAAAUUAAAAAUUAUUCUAAAAGUUAAAAAACUUUUAUAAAAAAGAAGGACGAGAAGACCCUAUUAAGCUUAAAUAAAUCUCUUAAUUCACUUAUUGCUUGCUUUAAAUUGGCUAUUAAGAAUUUUUGUUUUGGUUGGGGCGAUCAAGGAAUAAAAAAACUUCCUAAAAUAGAAAUUAAGAUAUUUUAAAGACCCAGAAUUUUUGUGUUAUAAACUAAGUUACUAUAGGGAUAACAGCGUUAUCUUCUCUGGGAGUUCUUAUUUAAGAGAAAGGUUUGCGACCUCGAUGUUGGUUUAAGGGAGCUUCAAGGUGCAGCUUAUCGAUAAAAAAGUUUGCGACCUCGAUGUUGGUUUAAGGGAGCUUCAAGGUGCAGAAGCUUUGAGAAGCAAGUCUGUUCGACUUUUAAUUCCUUACAUGAUCUGAGUUUAAACCGGUGUAAGCCAGGUUGGUUUCUAUCCUCUAAAGAACCUGCUUUAGUACGAAAGGAUUAAGUUAGGUUAAAAAAUUUAUCAAAAAGAAAGUAAAAUAAUAAUUAUUUAUAUAAUCUUAUUUUAGCAAGAUAAAGGUUAAUAUUAUUUUAUUAAUACACACUCUUG